CCGGACCGGCGCACGGGUGAGUAACACGUAUGCAACCUGGCCGUGACAGAUGGAUAACCGGGAGAAAUCCCGCCUAAUACAGCAUGACGCCGGGAAGGGACAUCCCUUUCCGGCCAAAGGGGGCGACUCCGGUCACGGAUGGGCAUGCGGCGCAUUAGGUAGUUGGUGGGGCAACGGCCCACCAAGCCGACGAUGCGUAGGGGUUCUGAGAGGAAGGUCCCCCACAUUGGAACUGAGACACGGUCCAAACUCCUACGGGAGGCAGCAG
rnacentral:rRNA from 1 species